rnacentral:rRNA from 1 species
UACGUAGGGGGCGAGCGUUGUCCGGAAUUAUUGGGCGUAAAGAGCGUGUAGGCUGUUCGGUAAGUCUGCCGUGAAAACCUGAGGCUCAACCUCGGGCGUGCGGUGGAUACUGCCGGGCUAGAGGACGGUAGAGGCGAGUGGAAUUCCUGGUGUAGCGGUGAAAUGCGCAGAUAUCAGGAGGAACACCAAUUGCGAAGGCAGCUCGCUGGGACGUUACUGACGCUGAGGUGCGAAAGCGUGGGGAGCAAACAGG